CGACGGGGUGGCGUACGAACUCGACGCGCUGGUGUUCGCCACCGGAUUCGAGGUGGGCACCGAGUUCACCCGUCGGCUCGGGUUCGAGAUCGUCGGCC
rnacentral:tRNA from 1 species